ACGCUGGUAGCUCAGCGGAACAAGAGCAGCUGGCUUCGAACCAGCAGGUCAGGGGUUCAAAUCCCCUCCAGCGUUCCA
rnacentral:tRNA from 2 species